UUGAACGCUGGCGGCAGGCCUAACACAUGCCAGUCGAGCGGAUGAAGGGAGCUUGCUCCUGGAUUCAGCGGCGGACGGGUGAGUAAUGCCUAGGAAUCUGCCUGGUAGUGGGGGAUAACGUCCGGAAACGGGCGCUAAUACCGCAUACGUCCUGAGGGAGAAAGUGGGGGAUCUUCGGACCUCACGCUAUCAGAUGAGCCUAGGUCGGAUUAGCUAGUUGGUGGGGUAAAGGCCUACCAAGGCGACGAUCCGUAACUGGUCUGAGAGGAUGAUCAGUCGCACUGGAACUGAGACACGGUCCAGACUCCUACGGGAGGCAGCAGUGGGGAAUAUUGGACAAUGGGCGAAAGCCUGAUCCAGCCAUGCCGCGUGUGUGAAGAAGGUCUUCGGAUUGUAAAGCACUUUAAGUUGGGAGGAAGGGCAGUAAGUUAAUACCUUGCUGUUUUGACGUUACCAACAGAAUAAGCACCGGCUAACUUCGUG
rnacentral:rRNA from 1 species